rnacentral:piRNA from 1 species
UCCAAAAGAAUUUUCUCAAAA